rnacentral:rRNA from 1 species
GAUGAACGCUGGCGGCAUGCCUAAUACAUGCAAGUCGAACGAGAGGAAGGAAAGCUUGCUUUCCUGAAUCUAGUGGCGAACGGGUGAGUAACACGUAGGUAACCUGCCCAUGUGCCCGGGAUAACUUCUGGAAACGGAUGCUAAAACCGGAUAGGUAGCAGACAAGCAUUUGACUGCUAUUAAAGUGGCCUUGGCCAUGAACAUGGAUGGACCUGCGGUGCAUUAGCUAGUUGGUGAGGUAACGGCCCACCAAGGCGACGAUGCAUAGCCGGCCUGAGAGGGCGGACGGCCACAUUGGGACUGAGACACGGCCCAAAACUCCUACGGGAGGCAGCAGUAGGGAAUUUUCGUCAAUGGGGGGAACCCUGAACGAGCAAUGCCGCGUGAGUGAGGAAGGUCUUCGGAUCGUAAAGCUCUGUUGUAAGAGAAAAACGGCACUCAUAGGGAAUGAUGAGUGAGUGAUGGUAUCUUACCAGAAAGUCACGGCUAACUACGUG